rnacentral:rRNA from 1 species
AGAGUUUGAUCCUGGCUCAGGAUGAACGCUGGCGGCGUGCUUAACACAUGCAAGUCGAACGAGAAUCCGAUGACGGAGGCUUCGGCCGAAGUUAUUGGAGGAAAGUGGCGGACGGGUGAGUAACGCGUGAGCAACCUGCCUUUAAGAGGGGGAUAACAUUCCGAAAGGGAUGCUAAUACCGCAUAAAGCAGAGGGAAGGCAUCUUUCUUCUGCCAAAGAUUUAUCGCUUAGAGAUGGGCUCGCGUAUGAUUAGCUUGUUGGUGAGGUAACGGCUCACCAAGGCGACGAUCAUUAGCCGGACUGAGAGGUUGAACGGCCACAUUGGGACUGAGACACGGCCCAG